rnacentral:tRNA from 1 species
AUUUUUAUAGCUUAUAAAGAGCACUUUACUGAAGAUAAAGAAGUCUUAACAUUA